rnacentral:misc_RNA from 1 species
GAUGAAGAACGCAGCGAAAUGCGAUAAGUAAUGUGAAUUGCAGAAUUCAGUGAAUCAUCGAGUCUUUGAACGCACAUUGCGCCCCCUGGUAUUCCGGGGGGCAUGCCUGUCCGAGCGUCAUUGCCGCCCUCAAGCACGGCUUGUGUGUUGGGCCCCCGCCCCCCGGCUUCGGGGGGCGGGCCCGAAAGGCAGCGGCGGCACCGCGUCCGGUCCUCGAGCGUAUGGGGCUUCGUCACCCGCUCUGUAGGCCCGGCCGGCGCCCGCCGGCGACCCCAAUCAAUCUUUCCAGGUUGACCUCGGAUCAGGUAGGGAUACCCGCUGAACUUAAGCAUAUCAAUAGCGGAGGA